rnacentral:sRNA from 1 species
CCCACCCCCGCCGCCCCGUUUCAGUUUUCUUGGUAGCAGAACCUUACGCCAGCAAGUUAAGUACCACGGAAAUGUGGUCUGGGGUGGUUUCUUUACUUUUCCAAGGUGGAGCUGGUACCCUUUAGACUGCUUAUAACGCCUCUGUCAGCUUGGCCAGAUGAAAUCUGAUGCCACCGGGGAAGGGUUCUUGACUUAGCAGAGCAAAUCUGCUUCUGCCUUCUCCUCCUCCCUCCCCCUCCCCUCCCCUCUCCCCCUCCUCCCCUCUUCCUCCUCCUCCUCCUGGGCUUGCUGUCUGCCAAGGAUGAACACCGAGAAGCCUGGGAGAGAGGUCUGACUUUGGUUCUCUCUUGCUCUAAGCCCAUUGCGACCUCAGGGAAGCGGUUUAACCUCUCUGUGCCUUGUAUUCCUCACCUGUGAAAGGAGGAGGCAAGUGGAUAUCUUUAUGGUGCCUUCCCACUGGUGGCCAGGGCAGAUAAUGCUAAUCCGUCUUUACCACCAACCCCAGACUUGGCCUCAGACUGUUGAUCAACAAGGCUUCUCACAAUGGGCUUGCUGGCAUCAUUUGAUUUGUUUCCUUUUUUCUUUCUUUUUUUUUUCUUUUUCUUUUUGGAGGGGGGAUGUGGGAAAUAGAUGUUUUGUUGUGGCUUUUUCCAUUCUGACAUCCCAGGAGUCCGUGAGCUUGGAAGUAUGUUUCAGGAAGGUCUAGAGUCUACCUGAAGCCCCGACUUAGGUUUUUGCCCCGGUUCCAGCUUCUUCUCUCAGGCAGCUUUGUGUGUGUUAGCUCUGGUGACAGAUAACAGAUAAUGGAACCGGGGAUGGGAAAGCAAAGGCCCAUUUAAAAGAUAACCAUCUAGCUUGCUAAUUGUACCUUGUCUACAGCCAGCUCUUAUUCAGAAAUGGCAUCCAGGAUGUCUUUUGUUGCUGUAUAAAAGGCACCUGGGGGUGAAGGAGGCCUUGUUGUAACUCACUGCUCCUUACAGUGUAGCAUCUGUGCUUUGCACAUCUACCCGGUCUUUCACAUCUUGUGUGGAAGCAGAGGCUUUGUAUAAGAAUCUUGGUUCUCCAGAGAAUCACUGUUCUCAUGCCUGGGGGAGUGGGGACAGGAAGCAGAUCCUACAGGUAUGAGUUCCCACGGGUUCCACAGCGACCUCCCUGCCUGCAGAUGUCCAGAGACCGGGGAGGUUGAGUGUGUUUGUUGAACUACUGAAAGUAGCAGAGCAGGCAGGGGGCUUCAGAGGGCCUCUAGGCCAGCCCCGUUCAUUUUUGUCUGAUGGAAACCAAGGCCCCAGAGGGGGUGAUCGCUUAAAACAGGUUCUCACAGGAAGAAGGCAGACCAGAACACAGUGCUCUGAGGUUCACGCUCCGUUUCACAGCAGAAGCUUCUCCUCCACAGACUAAUAUUUGCGCCUUCUCUGCCAUUAUUUCCCCUGAGAGCCAAGAUGAUCUCGCUGACUCCCUGAGGCCAGCAAAUAAAAUGGAUUAAAUGUUAGGGCUGUGAAGGGACCCUGCUUGGGGUGGAGAGAUUCAAAGAAGAAUCUGAACAAUGGUAAAGAAAGAGACGCCCCGUGCAGAAGCUGGCAUGUCUACACAGAACCCUGGUGCAUUUCCCCAGGCUUUGGACUCAGGCAUCACCAGGAAGGCACCUCUUGGACACCCUGGACUUACCCUCAUACACAGAAUCUGUGGCUGAGAUGGAGAGGGAGAGAGCGAGCCCAGGGUUUCUUCUCUUUGCUCCUGAGAGGAAGCUGAGCUUCAGAUGCUGGAUUUUCUCCCACCUUCUCAGGAGAGAAGCCACCGCCUAAAGCAACAUCAGCAAGAACCGUUACAAUGUUGAAGGUUAAGGGGAUGGCUCAGUGGGUAAGAUCGCAGCUAAGCAAGCUGGAGGACCUGGGUUUGGCUGUCUAUGCCGGUUACCUCAAUAUCGGGGGCAAAGACAGUUGGAUUCCGAGAGCCUGCUGGACCUGCUAGCCAAAACAGCCUUCAGACUGUGAGUGACUCCCAUCUGUGGCAAUUAGGUAUUUGGUGGUAAAGGAAGACAUUGCACAGCCUAUUCUAGCUUCCACGUGGGUGUGCACACCUGGACAUUCACACACGUGACCAUAUAUACCACAGACGCAUGUGCACAUGCAAGCGCACAUGCAGUGAGCAGUGAUUCAUGCUUAACCCUUCGUUCCUCUGUUUCUCCGUAUCGGAUCAGGAAAAGGGACCAGUUUCUCAGCUCAUCCCUCCAUCCCCUCCUGUCUGAGCAGAGGGGAGAGGCCAUUGCCUUGGGACUGAAGCUUUCCAGUAGGCCCCUGGGUGGUGCUGAGAUAUGACCUCCCUGCUCUCUUAGACUGUGGCUGGGCAGCGUGGAAGGCUCCAGCUUUGUCAUCCCACAACCUGAUGUCAAACCCCCAGGCCUAGGUGGGCCACCUAACAUCUUUACCCCGAAAUCCCUGGUCCAUGUCACAAGAGUGACACUAGUUACCUUGGAACUUCUUUUGAGGAUGAACUAGUCACAGGUCACCGAGUACAAAGCCCUGAGCACAGCACUUAGCUCAGAAUUAGAGCCCCCGAUGGCAGUCAAAAUGGCUGUUUCAGCUCAACCUGGCUUUGGGUAAGGACCUGGUUUCCUAGCUUCUCUGUGGCUGAGAGGUUGGGAAGCUUAUGCCAUCCCUGGAGGGUUAGGGCUCCGGGAAGAAGGGCUGACCCACACGGAGGCCGCACAGCUUCUGAGUAUACCAUAGCCGGUUGGUUGGUGAUUGGUAUAAAUGAUGUCUCUCGUGCCAACACCUCUCCUUGCACACAGCUCUCGGACUGUUUGGAGCCCGAAGCAGUCUUUGGAUGGUGUUGUUCUCCCACUUCCUACCUGGGAGGGAACCUGAGCAUCUUUCUAGAGUUUUCUUCUCAGCAGUCGCCUCCAGGAAGUGUGUUUGGUGACUCUAGUCCCAGGAGUUCUCCUGAGCCUCCCUUCCCUCAUCUGCUUGCCUGGAUGGGAAGACUUCCUGGGUGCCCACUCUCACUGGUGAGACAUCCAUGCCAGUCUGUCACACACCGUGAUCAUUUCUGACCGGUGGCGGACUACUUCGUGAGGUCAGGGAUGCUCUCCUCCCGUCAUUACAGAAUGACUAAGGACUGACAGACAAGCCGUAUGGCUCAUUCUCAGCAGCCACUGGCCGGGACUCGAGGCUUAGCCUCAGGAAUGGCUUUCCACGAACUUCGGGGUGCUUAGAACCCCGAGCCUGGAAAGGGUGGAGACCUCAAGGAACAUGACUGAGCUUAUUCCCUGGAGCUCCCCACACACAUCCAGGAGACCGACCGCUUCUUGGGCCUACCCCACUGCCACGAGAAUGCCCCCAGCUGGCCUCCUGUUGGGCAGUGAGGAACAGCUCUCUGCCAGAUGCCAGCAGGUCAGGCUCUGAGCCUGUGUCCUGGUCUAGAUCCGGUCUGAGUGGUGGUGACCUUCUGCAUGCUCUACUCUGGGCUGGGCGCCUGCCACCUGCUGCCUUCCAGGGCGGGGUUGGACCUGUGGGACCAGGGCAAGGUGCCUGAACCAGGAACCCCAGCGGAAGGGUGGCUUCGUGGAGAACUCAGCAGCCUCUACCCUGUAGGGAUGAGGGCAGAAGGGACCGUGUGGGGCUGGGAACCAGUCCCAUCUCCCCAAAUGAGCAUGUUAGACUGUAUCACAGUGUCCUGGUGUUAAUUAAAGAUGGGGUAACUGAGA